rnacentral:rRNA from 1 species
GACGAAGGGGGCUAGCGUUGUUCGGAAUUACUGGGCGUAAAGGGCGCGUAGGCGGCGUGACAAGUCACUUGUGAAAUCUCCGGGCUUAACUCGGAACGGUCAAGUGAUACUGUCGUGCUAGAGUACAGAAGGGGCAACUGGAAUUCUCGGUGUAGCGGUGAAAUGCGUAGAUAUCGAGAGGAACACCUGCGGCGAAGGCGGGUUGCUGGGCUGAUACUGACGCUGAGGCGCGAAAGCCAGGGGAGCGAACGGG